GUGAGUUCCCAGAGAGCAGAGUUCCACAAGUGGGCAGAUUGGGCAGGAGAGGCCAGGAAUGGAGGGAUGCCACCCUGGCCAGAGCUUGGAACAGAUUCAC
ensembl:ribozyme RNaseP_nuc Nuclear RNase P